GGACAAUGAAAUAAGCUUAUUGGACCCGGGGGCGGUACCCGGCGCCUCCACCAAAAUAUAAUUUGUUUUUUUAUAUUUUAGUGGGGGCGAAACAGGAUCGACAAAAGUGUAAAGAUUGCUCUUUUACUCGGUAUAGUACCACCGUUAUCGGACUAAAUGAGUAGUUGCAAAUGACAACUAUGCGGAAGUACGUCUCGCUGCCUGAGGUGGUGUGAAUGCUUCAAACUAAGUCUUAAACCGUCGCAGGUUUAAGCGGGGUUCGAAGGCAC
rnacentral:tmRNA from 1 species